rnacentral:rRNA from 1 species
AUUGAACGCUGGCGGCAGGCCUAACACAUGCAAGUCGAGCGAGAGGCGGACGGGUGAGUAAUGUCUGGGAAACUGCCUGAUGGAGGGGGAUAAAUACUGGAAAAGGUAGCUAAUACCGCAGACAAUCCGAAGUGCACAGAUGUGCAUAGCUAGUAGGUGGGGUAACGGCUCACCUAGGCGACGAGCCCUAGCUGGUCUGAGAGGAUGACCAGCCACCCUGGAACUGAGACACGGUCCAGACUCCGACGGGAGGCAGCAGUGGGGAAUAUUGCACAAUGGGCGCAAGCCUGAUGCAGCCAUGCCGCGUGUGUGAAGAAGGCCUUCGGGUUGUAAAGCACUUUCAGCGGGGAGGCGUUACCCGCAGAAGAAGCACCGGCUAACUCCGUGCCAGCAGCCGCGGUAAUUC